GACCCCGAGCCUGCCUCAGGCCGCAGUUGUUUCCCGCCCUGUGUUCCUCUGGUUAAAUAUUAUCGAUCUUUCCUGGUUCACCCACCGCGAAUACCGUGAGAGCAAGGGGAGGGGAGAAAAGGCGGGAAAAACAAAAACACACACACCUCCUCAGCACACAGCUCUGCUCUCUCUAGACCCCGCCCCUAAAGGGAAGGAGCGGGCAGCAGGCAAGGCUGACGCGUCCGGCGCCAUCUUUCAAGUGGGCGGAACGAGUCGCGGCUGAUGCGCCCCAUUUCCUCGUGGGACACCGUAGGUGCGUCCUGGCAUUUUCGAUUUGCGAUUCCGUGAGCACACGGGGCGUGUGAGAGGGGCGGGCCAGACUGGUUCAAUGGGGCGCUCUGGGAGGGUGUUGGCUGCAGAUGUUAACGGAGACAGACAGUCGUGUUCUUAGUGGGCGGGCUGCCAGCCCCGGAAAGCAGGCGGAGUUGGUGGUUGUGAAAGGUGUUGUUUGUGCUUGGCAGGGAGUGGGCGCUUAGCAAAUAUUUGAUGAAGGAGUGGAUUUGUCUUCGCCUUAGCACACGGUUAAGUACACUGUAACUUCACCGCAAAUCCGGUUAGGUAAUUUCCUUUUCCCACGGAAUGUAUUGUGUGCUGCUUCAGAGCUGGAGCUGAGGACUUGUUGAUUACCUCCCAUUUACCAAAUUACAGCAAAUUAGAUUGAACUGUGACUGGCAUGUGAACGAUCUGAUGUUGGACAUGGAUGAGGAAUAUUGCUCUAUAAACCACAAUCCUCCUGGGACUCACCAUUCUAUGAACAAUAAGCUAGUAAGCUUCUCAGUGAGAGGAAUCACAUCCUCAGCCUGGUAUUAACCUCUCUUCCUUCCAUGUUGGUGAUCUGCACCUCGCAAGCAAUGGUCGUGACUGAUCUAAAGCCCAAAAUAAAGAGUUCCCAGGGGGAGGAAAUUCCUAGCUCGUUACAGCAUCAUAAAACACGCAAGAAAGAGAACAAGAAGUAGGAAGACAAGUCUACCAUUUUCUUAAAUCUUAGACAAGAUCAUGAGCUAAUUUCCUGUAGAGGAGGACAGAUUUUGAAGUUGUGUUUUGAUAAAUUUGUCACAAUUUAGAUGCAAUCGGCAGCGCUUGGUGAUGGUUUUGGUGCUGCUCUGCUGUACCUCUGAGUCAUGGUGGACCAGUAACAUG
rnacentral:lncRNA from 1 species